GUGUGGGCCCCGCUUUCCCCCAGCGCUGGAGACUCCGAGCCCGGCCGGUCCCACAUUCCACGCGAGCUGAAUUCCCGCCCGCAUCCCGCCCGGGCAGCAGGGAUUGCCGGCUCCGGGAGGCGCUCGGGCUCCGAGAAGCGGCUCAGCCCCGCGCCCCUCCCUCCUCAGUACCGCUGCCGGCGGACCAGGAUUCCCGCGGGUCCUGGCGGCUGCGAGCGCGAGGCGGCGCGGAUUCGCGGCUCGGUUCCGGCGCGACUGCUCACCGCGCCCGCCUCGCCUCCCGCGGCUGCCAGCGUGCACUGGGCGCUCCUCGGCGCGUCUGCCCGGCCCGUCUCGGCUUUCCUUCUCCUUCCUCUAGUCCCAGCGUCACAACUCCGCCGACCUCCUCUGCCCUGAGAGCGCGUCCGGUGCGGGCGGAGUCGGACGGACUCUGGCUUCACGCCUCGCGCGGGCACACCUUCUCCCGGGCACUGAGGCCCAGUUAUUAGGGGAGGCAGAGUCCUUCUGGAGUUUGACCCUUGGAUUCCAUCCAGAGCAGCCUCCAAAAUGACACCUUUGAAGUUGUGUAUCGAGCUGGGGGAUGUAAAGGGAGGAGAAGAAAGAAGAUGAAGAGAUACCAGCCAGCCUUAAGGAGUGGACAUCCUGCCUGGUGAAACUGAACAAGACACCUACCGCAUAUGGAGUUUCGCUCUGUCGCCCAGGCUGGAGUGCAGUGGUGCCAUCUCGGCUCACCGCAACCUCCACCUCCAGGUUCAAGUGAUUCUCCUGCCUCAGCCUCUCAAGUAGCUGGGAUUACAGGAGCCCUCUCCCACCGCUCCUACACUGCUGGUAAAAGGCAGCCGCACUGCCUGCUGGAAGACCUGC
rnacentral:lncRNA from 1 species